UGUAUGCACGGCAGUCCUGUUUGUUCGGCAUAAGGAAGAGGACAGGAGAAGAUGGAAAGACCAUAGCUUUCAUCUACCUCUUACAUGAUGCAGGACAGGACAGACGGGGGAUGAACAUAAAUACCUUACAUCAAGGUGCCUAUGCAGUACACGGACCACUAACGGGAAUUAUUUCGCCGACCUACGCCUUGGAGUAGCAUACCUUUGUUUUGCCGUGGGACUAUUGCGUUGGUUUGGAUUACUGUUUUGGUGGACACAGAAUUCGCAAACGAGCCUUAAAACGAGAUCUCGUAUGGAACCACCUUAUCCACCGACAGCGCUUUUGUGUUGUCAGGCGAUCCAAAAGGGUAGUCGACCGAAUCAUAAUAGGAAGUAAACAGUAAAAGGUUAUUGCGGAAUUUUGGAAUACACGAUGCCACCCGUGUCAUGUCACGGGACUGAACCAUUCUGAAGCACUGGAUUGCAUCCUGUGUGGAUUUUCUUGCCCGGACCCAGUUAAUGAGAGGCACCCAGCGGCAGAAGCGGAGACCUCAACAUGUUGGCGUGUUUACAGAGGAGCCAGACCCACGCGCCCCAGCAUCUGAUGGGGGGUGGCAAGAUCCCAGAGCUGCAGCUGCCCGUCCCUCGAAAG